rnacentral:lncRNA from 1 species
CUGACUCACACCAUCAGGGUUGGAGGAAUGCAACCAGGGUAAGAGGAGAAAAGCUGUUCUCUGGUGACUGCGGGGCCCUC